rnacentral:misc_RNA from 1 species
GCGAGUUCUAAACUCCCAACCCUUGCGGACAUACCUAUUGUUGCUUCGGCGGGGCGCCCUGUUACAGGGCGCUGCCCCUGAGUACCCUCUCGGGGGCGCCCGCCGACGGCACGUAAACCAAACUCUUGUUUUUUCAAGUAUUCUGAGUAGACUACAAAAUAAGUCA